UGAAGAAUCUGAGGAUCAUGUUGAAGCUGA
rnacentral:piRNA from 1 species